rnacentral:rRNA from 1 species
UACGGGGGGAGCAAGCGUUGUUCGGAUUUACUGGGCGUAAAGGGCGCGUAGGCGGUAGCACAAGUCAGUUGUGAAAUCUCCGGGCUUAACUCGGAAAGGUCAACUGAUACUGUGCGACUAGAGUGCAGAAGGGGCAACUGGAAUUCUCGGUGUAGCGGUGAAAUGCGUAGAUAUCAGGAGGAACACCUGUGGUGUAGACGGCUUACUGGACCAUGACUGACGCUGAGGCACGAAAGCGUGGGGAGCAAACAGG